AUGCCGCGGUGAAUACGUUCCCGGGCCUUGUACACACCGCCCGUCACACCACGAGAGUUUGUAACACCCGAAGUCGGUGAGGUAACCUUUUAGAGCCAGCCGCCGAAGGUGGGAUAGAUGAUUGGGGUGAAGUCGUAACAAGGUAGCCGUAUCGGAAGGUGCGGCUGGAUCACCUCCUUUCU
rnacentral:rRNA from 1 species